GAAAUGCGAUAAGUAGUGUGAAUUGCAGAAUUCAGUGAAUCAUCGAAUCUUUGAACGCACAUUGCGCCCCUUGGUAUUCCAUGGGGCAUGCCUGUUCGAGCGUCAUUUGUACCCUCAAGCUCUGCUUGGUGUUGGGUGUUUGACCCGUCUCCGCGCGUGGACUCGCCCCAAAGUGAUUGGCAGCCGGCGUACUGGUCCCGGAGCGCAGCACAUGUCGCGCAAACGAGUGCCUUGGUACGGCGGCGUCCAUAAGCCCCUCUCUCACGCUCUUGACCUCGGAUCAGGUAGGGAUACCCGCUGAACUUAAGC
rnacentral:misc_RNA from 1 species